rnacentral:rRNA from 1 species
UGCAAGUCGAGCGGAAACGAUGUAGCUUGCUACAGGCGUCGAGCGGCGGACGGGUGAGUAACGCGUAGGAACCUACCUAGUAGUUUGGGAUAGCCAUUGGAAACGAUGAUUAAUACCGGAUACGCCCCACGGGGGAAAGCAGAGGAUCUUCGGACUUCGCGCUAUUAGAUGGGCCUGCGUAAGAUUAGCUUGUUGGUGAGGUAAUGGCUCACCAAGGCGACGAUCUCUAACUGGUCUGAGAGGAUGACCAGUCACACUGGGACUGAGACACGGCCCAGACUCCUACGGGAGGCAGCAGUGGGGAAUAUUGGACAAUGGGCGCAAGCCUGAUCCAGCCAUGCCGCGUGUGUGAAGAAGGCCUUAGGGUUGUAAAGCACUUUCAGGGGUGAGGAAGGGUGAGUCGCUAAUAUCGACUUAUCUUGACGUUAGCCCCAGAAGAAGCACCGGCUAACUCUGUGCCAGCAGCCGCGGUAAUACAGAGGGUGCAAGCGUUAAUCGGAAUUACUGGGCGUAAAGCGCGCGUAGGUGGUUUGUUAAGUCUGAUGUGAAAUCCCAGGGCUCAACCUUGGAAUGGCACCGAAUACUGGCUAGCUAGAGUAUGG